rnacentral:misc_RNA from 1 species
UAUCCGUAGGUGAACCUGCGGAAGGAUCAUUAUUGAAUAAACCUGAUGUGGUUGUAGCUGGCCCUUUCGGGAGCAUGUGCACACCCGUCGUCUUUAUCUUUCCACCUGUGCACCUUUUGUAGACCUGGAUGUAACACUUUCCGAGGCAACUCGGUCGGGAGGAAUGCUGUCAGCUUUCCUUGAAUGUCCAGGCCUAUGUUUUCAUAUACCCCAAAGAAUGUAACAGAAUGUAUUAUUGGGCCUUGUGCCUAUAAACUAUAUACAACUUUCAGCAACGGAUCUCUUGGCUCUC